rnacentral:lncRNA from 1 species
UACUUUCACCCAUGCAAGCCUUUAACCUUCAGAAAGUUCUGAAUGUGGCUGCUCUGGGGCCUCUGUGACCCUGGUGUGUGAGAGCUCCUUGUUCUUGCUGAAGGCAGGUGGGGCUGGUGAACCCAACUUUCAGUCCAGGGCCAAGAAGCAACCCCUUAAAUUAGAAAGACAAAGCAUCCCUUGACUUUCACAAACCUCAGAGUAUUAAACAUACAGCACCACUAAGCAAACCUGAAAACAACUGCUUCCUUUUGACAGCUCCAUGUGGGAAAAAGAACAACGAGGAGAAAGAAACAACUGUAUGUCCACGCCACCCGUCCACACGGACGCUGAGGGACGGGCUGAGGAGAACGUCCAUGUCCACGCCACCCGUCCACACGGACGCUGAGGGACGGGCUGAGGAGAACGUCCAUGUCCACGCCACCCGUCCACACGGACGCUGAGGGACGGGCUGAGGAGAACGUCCAUGUCCACGCCACCCGUCCACACGGACGCUGAGGGACGGGCUGAGGAGAACGUCCAUGUCCACGCCACCCGUCCACACGGACGCUGAGGGACGGGCUGAGGAGAACGUCCAUGUCCACGCCACCCGUCCACACGGACGCUGAGGGACGGGCUGAGGAGAACGUCCAUGUCCACGCCACCCGUCCACACGGACGCUGAGGGACGGGCUGAGGAGAACGUCCAUGUCCACGCCACCUGUCCACAGAGACACUAGUGGACUCAGAGGAGCGUCCAUGUCCACACCAUCUGUCCACACAGACACUGAUGGACUCAGAAGAGCAUCCAUGUCCACACCACCUGUCCACACAGACACUGAGGGAUGGGCUGAGAACAUUCAUGUCUGUACCACUUGUCCACAGAGACACUGAGGGACGGGCUCAGGCGAGCCUCCAUGUCUACAUAGCCUGUCCACAGAGCCACUGAAGAAUGGAGCUCAGGGGAAAGACACCUGCCUUUGGUGGGAAUCCCCUCCUGGGGCUGUGGGUGGUGGAAGCUGAGGUUCUGUGCCUGCAGCUGGCUGGGGGAGUGACAGGGAGCUGUAGGCUCUGCCCCGAAGCCACUGAAGUACUGAGUGGUGCUGGGGGACUGUGGUCCUGUGGUCCUAGAGAAGCUGUGGAGCAGGCAGUUUCUGGAUGCUGGGCCUUGCCAGGUGUGUGCACCGUGGGCUGCGAGGCCGCAGCUCAGGACUGAUGUCAUCCUCAAUGGGCCUGCACAAAAGAACA